CGUGUUUCCGAUGAAGCCCAAUGAGGCCCAACAGUUAGUGAUAUACUCGCGCCUCCGCCUCGCUUUCCCAUCAGAUCGCCGCCGCCGCUCCCUUGGCUGUCGUCGCCGGUCCCUCUCUCUCCCGAGCGAUGGAGGAGAAAGUGUACCCUAGUUUCUCUCUCUCGAGUCUGGGAUUUGGGCCAUCCGCAUCUUCACGAAACCCCCUUCCGCCAUCGCCGGCUCCUGUGGAAGUUCUCAUCACCGAGGAGGAAUCGCUGUUGGAAUCAAGUGUGGAGCCUAUAGUCAUCGCCGAUGGGCUUACUCUUCAUAAGGGAAGAGUAAGUACCUCUGAUGUGUUCGGGUUGGCCAACUCAGAUUUAGUUCCGGGAAAAUAUGAAGGGGGCUUGAAGCUGUGGGAAGGUUCACUUGAUCUUGUUAAGAGACUGCAUUCUGAGGUCCACAAAGGCGAGUUAGUUCUCAGAGGAAAAAGUGUUUUAGAGCUUGGAUGCGGUCAUGGACUUCCAGGGAUCUUUGCAGGCCUUGAGGGCGCAUCAGUCAUUCACUUUCAAGACUUUAAUGCUGAGGUGCUUCGCAAUCUAACCAUCCCAAAUGUGAAAGUCAAUGUACAGAAACACUUAAACCAACAUGAAUCAUUGCCUAUAAGCAAGUCAUCAACUCCCAGAACCCCUAGCGUUCGUUUCUUUGCUGGUGAUUGGAAUGAAGUCCAUCAGCUUCUACUCUGCCGUUCUAAUGCUGGUCAACAAACAGCAACAGUUUCUGGUUCAGAGGGAAACUUAUGUGAUGGUUACGAUGUCAUUUUGAUGGCAGAAACUGUGUAUGAACCGUCCUCCCUUAGUAGUCUCUAUGCACUUGGCAAAAAGUGUUUGCAACAUCCUCUUGGAGUAAUCUAUAUGGCAGGAAAGAAGCAUUAUUUCGGAGUUGGUGGUGGUACAAGGCAAUUUGUAAAUUUGGUUGAAGAAGAUGGUGUAAUGACAGCUUCUUUGCUUGCUGAGGUUGCUGAUGGUUCAUCCAAUGUGCGGGAAGUGUGGAAAUUCAUGUUCAAAUAGAUUGACAAUAGAAGAAAAUGAACCAUAUACAUGAUGCUCCACUGCUUCCAUCUAAGGGAUUCCAAUUUUCUCGUGCAUUGUCCAACACACAUUGGGGCACCAUAUCAGACAAGAAUUCCAUAAAAGUAUCAAUACUAUGUGUGUUGAAUAACAUUGUCCUCACUGUGUGAGAUGGAGGAAGUUGUUCUAGCCCAUUUGUAUGAGGUCCAAUACCAGUCAAGAUCAUGUUCUGAGACAUAGGGGAAGGUCUUAAUUCACCUCCAUUCGGAGAAUUAUCUGAAAAGAUGGUCAGGGAGACACUACUCAUAAACAUCAACAUUUGAGUAUUAGAGAGGUGUAUUAAUGUGCUUAUGUCUCACUUUCUUAUUAGGAUAUUCUUGUGAUAAAUAGGAUUGCUUACCAUUUUGUUGUACUCUAAUGAUUCCGCUAGAUAAUGCUCCACUGCUUCCAUCUAAGGGAUUCCAAUUUUCUCGUGCAUUGUCCUGCACACAUUGGGGCACCAUAUCAGAUAAGAAUUCCAUAAAAGUAUGGAUAUUGUGCGUAUUGAAUAACAUUGUCCUCACUAUGUGAGAUGGAGGAAACUGUUCUAGCCCAUUUGUAUGAGGUCCAGUACCAGUCAAGAUUAUGUUCUGAGACACAAGGGAAGGUCCUAAUUCACCUCCACUCAGACAAUUACCUGAAAAGAUGGCCAGGGAGACACUACUCAUAAACAUCAACAUAUGAUGCUCCACUGCUUCCAUCUAAGGGAUUCCAAUUUUCUCGUGCAUUGUCCUGCACACAUUGGGACACCAUAUCAGAUAAGAAUUCCAUAAAAGUAUGGAUACUGUGCGUAUUGAAUAACAUUGUCCUCACUAUGUGUGAUGGAGGAAGUUGUUCUAGCCCAUUUGUAUGAGGUCCAGUGCCAGCCAAGAUCAUGUUCUGAGACACAUGGGAAGGCCCUAAUUCACCUCCUCUCAGAGAAUUACCUGAAAAGAUAACCAGGGAGACACUACUCAUAAACAUCAACAUGUGAGUAUUGGAGAGGUGUAUUAAUGUGUUUGUCUCACUUUCUUACGAGGAUAUUCUUCUGAUAAAUAGGACUGCUUACCAUUUUGUUGUACUCCAAUGAUUCUGCUGGAUGAUGCGCCACUCCUUCCAUGGAAGGGAUUCGAAUUUUCUCGUGCAUUGUCCUGCACACAUUGGGGCACCAUAUUAGAUAAGAAUUCCAUAAAAGUAUCAAUACUAUGCGUGUUGAAUAGCAUUGUCCUCACUAUGUGAGAUGGAGGAAGCUGUUCUAGCCCAUUUGUAUGAAGUCCAGUACCAGCCAAGAUCAUGUUCUGAGACACAAGGGAAGGUCUUAAUUCACCUCCACUCAGAGAAUUACCUAAAAUGAUGGUCAGGGAGACACUACUCAUAAACAUCAACAUGUGAGUAUUGGAGAGGUAUUAAUGUGUUUAUGUCUCACUUUCUUACUAGGAUAUUCUUGUGAUAAAUAGGACUACUUACCAUUUUGUUGUACUCCAAUGAUUCUGUUGGAUGAUGCUCCACUCCUUCCAUGGAAGGGAUUCGAAUUUUCUCGUGCAUUGUCCUGCACACAUUGGGGCACCAUAUCAGAUAAGAAUUCCAUAAAAGUAUCAAUACUUUGCGUGUUGAAUAGCAUUGUCCUCACUAUGUGAGAUGGAGGAAGUUGUUCUAGCCCAUUUGUAUGAGGUCCAGUACCAGUCAAGAUCAUGUUCUGAGACACAAGGGAAGGUCUUAAUUCACCUCCACUCAGAGAAUUACC